rnacentral:rRNA from 1 species
AUCUUAGGUAAAUCCGGGGUUUCAAGGCCGAGAGCUGAUGACGAGUCGUCUUUUAGAUGACGAAGUGGUUGAUGCCAUGCUUCCAAGAAAAGCUUCUAAGCUUCAGGUAACCAGGAACCGUACCCCAAACCGACACAGGUGGUCGGGUAGAGAAUACCAAGGCGCUUGAGAGAACUCGGGUGAAGGAACUAGGCAAAAUGGCACCGUAACUUCGGGAGAAGGUGCGCCGGCCAGGGUGAAGGAUUUACUCCGUAAGCUCUGGCUGGUCGAAGAUACCAGGCCGCUGCGACUGUUUAUUAAAAACACAGCACUCUGCAAACACGAAAGUGGACGUAUAGGGGUGUGACGCCUCCCCGGUGCCGGAAGGUUAAUUGAUGGGGUUAGCGCAAGCGAAGCUCUUGAUCGAAGCCCCGGUAAACGGCGGCCGUAACAAUAACGGUCCUAAGGUAGCGAAAUUCCUUGUCGGGUAAGUUCCGACCUGCACGAAUGGCGUAACGAUGGCGGCGCUGUCUCCACCCGAGACUCAGUGAAAUUGAAAUCGCUGUGAAGAUGCAGUGUAUCCGCGGCUAGACGGAAAGACCCCGUGAACCUUUACUGUAGCUUUGCACUGGACUUUGAGCCUGCUUGUGUAGGAUAGGUGGGAGGCUUUGAAGCGUGGACGCCAGUUCGCGUGGAGCCAUCCUUGAAAUACCACCCUGGCAUGCUUGAGGUUCUAACUCUGGUCCGUAAUCCGGAUCGAGGACAGUGUAUGGUGGGCAGUUUGACUGGGGCGGUCUCCUCCUAAAGAGUAACGGAGGAGUACGAAGGUGCGCUCAGACCGGUCGGAAAUCGGUCGCAGAGUAUAAAGGCAAAAGCGCGCUUGACUGCGAGACAGACACGUCGAGCAGGUACGAAAGUAGGUCUUAGUGAUCCGGUGGUUCUGUAUGGAAGGGCCAUCGCUCAACGGAUAAAAGGUACUCCGGGGAUAACAGGCUGAUACCGCCCAAGAGUUCAUAUCGACGGCGGUGUUUGGCACCUCGAUGUCGGCUCAUCACAUCCUGGGGCUGAAGCCGGUCCCAAGGGUAUGGCUGUUCGCCAUUUAAAGUGGUACGCGAGCUGGGUUUAGAACGUCGUGAGACAGUUCGGUCCCUAUCUGCCGUGGACGUUUGAGAUUUGAGAGGGGCUGCUCCUAGUACGAGAGGACCGGAGUGGACGAACCUCUGGUGUUCCGGUUGUCACGCCAGUGGCAUUGCCGGGUAGCUAUGUUCGGAAAAGAUAACCGCUGAAAGCAUCUAAGCGGGAAACUUGCCUCAAGAUGAGAUCUCACUGGGAACUUGAUUCCCCUGAAGGGCCGUCGAAGACUACGACGUUGAUAGGCUGGGUGUGUAAGCGUUGUGAGGCGUUGAGCUAACCAGUACUAAUUGCCCGUGAGGCUUGACC